UAAUGCUGGGGUUCACUUCAAAACAAACCUACUCUCUGGUUUCGCAUCUAGACCUGGGAUGACAGCUUGAAUGCUGCACGUACAUCAAGCUCCUUCAUCGUGAAUGCGCCCUGAAGUAAAAACAGAAAUUGUUGGAAAAACUCAGCAGAUCCGGCAUUAUCUGUGGAGAGAGAAACAGAGUUAACGUUUCGGGUCCAGUGACUCUUCUUCAGAACACCCUGCAGUAAAUGGACAAAGUUGGAGUUUCACUUGGCUAUCUGGAGUCCAGGGUGCUCAGGAGGAGGCUCUGCAUACAGUCCCUAAAGUGGCUGGAAAGAGGUGAAAGGAGAGGGCGGCGUUUGGGGCAGGAAAAAAUUAGGUGCUUGGAGAUAAAAUGGGAUGGUGUUGAAUCCGACACGCUCUAGGGUUAACCGCUGACUAUUGCUCAGUCCCUUUAUGGCCGAGAGAACAGUCUGCAGCGAAUGUCAGUGUCAUGAGGAAUUGGGAAUGGUUACUGAGUGCAGAGUGUACACACACAGCCUCGAAUAUGAGCCCGGGGACCUAUGAUUGUCUUCAACAGGAGGGGAAUUAAAUCAAAAUAACAUCGAUCACCUUCUAAUUCUCGUUUUACAUUUCAGUAGUACCCCAGACUUCGGUGAAAGUGCCCGAUUGUGAUUGGCUGGAAUGUCUCGGCUUUAAGUUAACACAAACCAGUCAGAGACACAACGGAGUGGGCAUUCAAUAAUUUAUGGAGAAGGAAAUUGUAAACACGGAGCUAAAAAAAAGUCUACAUUUGAUCUAUUUGACAUACAGAGUGUGCCAAUCAGAGUGGGUUAGUCACACGAAGCGGGUAGGCUAUGUAUAAUAUAAAAGGUUGUAUUUAGUACAUUUCUGAUCCAACCACAGCAGAAACAGUUUUUGAGAUGGAACUUGCUGAAUAACCACUGCUGCACUACUGAAACAAAAUAGUUUAUGACAGAUACAUUAAGGAGGAAAUCGAACAAAAAACAAGACUUUGAAGAAAUUUUAUGGAGAGGUCAGAGGUGAAUUUGAGAAGGCAAAUAAAUACCUAUCAUUCCCUUUGGUGAAAUAUUUUGCUAUCUUUCCAGUCACUAACAAUUCCUGUCGAGACUGUAUGAUGUCCUUCAUUUCAGUUGGUCUGCUAUUCGAGAGUAGAAUGGUGAGAUGGGUGAAGACUCAGAAAGCUAUCUGUGCUUAUGAGGACAACAUCCUUCAGAAGAGGGGGAAAAUAAAGAAGUAAUCAGCCCAGUCAAAUAACUGAAAAAGCAGCCACCAAUUCAUGUCUGUGCUUAAACCUAUUCCCCCUAUUAGAUCACACAGUGGAUGUGGGUAUGUUGGAUUAAUUCACCACGUUUUAGCAUCCAAGCCACCAAGAAUUGAAUGGCUCUGAAAAGGGGUGCUUAUUGAUUGCCAGACUGCUUUGUGUUGCUAGAUUAGCAUUAGAAUCAGAAUUAGAAUUAGAAAUAGAAAUAGGUUAUUUUCACAUAUAUUCAAGUAUAGGGAUACAUAAGUACAGUGAAGAGUGUACAAAGUCACCAUUUCUGACAUCAUCUUAGGUACAAAAUCUUAGGUAUAAAUUAGGAAAAUGAAGAAAUAAAGUUAUAAGAUCAAUAUUAAAGUCUUUGUAAAGCUAGGUACAAAGAUACCUAGGUACAAAAUCUUAGGUAUUAAUAGUGCACUGGUAAAAUCUGACUUACAACACUAUGGGGGAGUCUUGAGCAACAGUGUGCUCCUUCUGAAGGUCUGAACCCUUGUUGCUCUGCAAUGUUGUGCAGAGUGCAGCAUACCACAUGCAGAAUACACAGGAUAGUGCAUAUUGAAGGGCAUCACCUGGUCUGUCGAGGGACUUAAAGUGAAUUUUCAGCACACUGAUGGUUUACUAAGUGAUUCUUCAUGUUGGUAUAAGUAUCUCUACUGGGUCUCAUCAGCUGGGUUUCAUAUAGCUGCCAUUGGCCAUAUUUUAAUUGGGUGACCUUUGUCUCCAAGCAGCCAGUCUGUAAGUCUGCUUUGAAGUGUGACCAAAUCAAGGAUGAUGGUCUGGGGCAGGAUGAAAGUACAAUGGCAGCUGUCUGGGAUUCCUGAUAACAUCAGCACCACAUGGGAGCUAUGCAUGUGUUCCACACAUGGAACCCCUUGCUAAAAACAAAGAUUCUUGAUAAUCUAGAGCUGCGUUUAUUGCCACAUGUGUGGAGUCAAAGUUAAUUGCUCAUUAAUUUGUAAAUUGUGUUAACUGGAUGCAGAUGGUGGGCAUUAACUUAUAAAAAAUAAUAAAAAGGAACCACAAGUCCAGGCAACAGGCUGUGGAGGGGGUCAUGUAUGCCCCUCCUCUGGGCGAUGUUUGUGGCCAGGUGUCCUCGGAAAGGGAACACAUGCUGUCCAACAGUAGCCUUAAUGCCUUUAGAGGUAGUUGGCACCACAGCGGGUAGGGUGCUUUCUUCCAACUGCAUUUUGAUUUAGCCCCUGUGAUGAUAUAUAUCUUGAAGAGAUAUUUGUCUACCCCGGGUGUCUUGAAGGGGCAUUCUGUAAACCUUGUGAUGAGGUGCUUGCUUAAUGGAAAGCAGAGUAAAUAGCUUUGGGUUUUUGUUUAAAUUAUACAAAAGAAGCAUGUGUGGGUGGAGUCAGGCUCAUGCAAA